rnacentral:lncRNA from 1 species
UCCGGACAUCUUGAUUGGGUUCUGACCAUAAGCUUGCCUAUCUUCUAUUGUCUUCCCCUUUAGUCAAAGCCCUAGGUGCAUCUCAUUAGGUCUUUCAUGGGUUGUAAUGUGGCUUAAGGCAUAAGGUGAGAAUUUUUGGUACGAGGUUAAGGUCAUUCUGAACUUCAUUCUGGGCCACAGACUUCCCAGAUUCUUUUGAUCCUUGCCUAUUCUUGCGGGCUUAAGCACAUUCUUCCUUUUAUUCUUCCUCUUUUUUUUUUUUCUUUUUCUCAUUCUCUUUUUUUUUUCUUUUUCUUUUUAUGGACUUUUUCUAUUUUGGGAUUAGACGUCCCAUUUUGCAAUUUUUGCACUAGUCCUGCCCAUAGGCUUCACUACACUAUCUCCCUUUCUUUUGCCCUUAAGUUCAGUUUUGACCGGGACGGCUCAAAUCUAGGCAAAUUUAUAAGUGAAUUCAAAAGAAUUAUUAAGCUCAAAAGGGGUUGCAAGUGAUAGAUGUAGGGUUGGUCAGUUUGGCUCAGUGGGCUAAAGAAAGAAUUUGCCUAAAUCAUUUAACACACCUAGACUAUGUACACAGGGUUCGACUAAGAAUCAAGGCAAGUUCUAGCAUCACCCUAAAUCAAGAUGUCAAAAUUCACACAAUGAAAGAAAGAAUUGUUUUGGGCAUAAAGUAACAAUUUUAAAAGCUCAAAUCCUCACAAGGUAUGCCCAAUUCCCUAUCCAUCGUCCUCAACUACAUACGGCACAAAGUUUGCAUAAUCUCACUCACAAAAUUGCACUUUCAAAUCAUCACAACUGAGUAACAUCGAUUGUACAGCAUGCUU